rnacentral:lncRNA from 1 species
UAUAUAUAUAUAUAAAUCAUCAGACAGACAGUCUGAGCCCAGUUUGCGGUCAGGGGAGUCGACGAUCCCAACCAAUUUGUGACGUGGCAGCGUUCGAGGUGAUAAAGAAGAGGUGGCCGGAGAAGGGGAAGACGAGAUAGAGCCACUUGAGAGAAGAGGUAGAAAAUAGUGCAGUAUGUAGCGUGAGAGUGGCAGUAGCCCGAUCGGUAGUCGGACC